UGAAGGAUCAUGUGACACUGAAGACUGAAGUAAUGAAUGAUGCUGAAAAUUCAGCUUUGCCAAUAAUAAAUUACAUUUUAAAAUUUAGUAGUCAACAUUUGAAGUGGAUCAAAACCUUUCAUCAAUGUUGUCCUUAAACCUUCCUCUUAGGACAACUUCAAAUGUUUACUACUGUACAUUAAAUAAGAAAUGUUAUUUUCAAAUUGUAGCAUUUCACAGUAUUACAGUAUUUUAUAAUAAAAUAAAUGCAGCCUUGGUGAGGAUAAGAGACGUCUUACUGAUCCCUUGAAUGGUAGUGUACAUACAACUGUAUACUAUUUUAAUAGUGUUGUUUUGAGUCAGAGGGUUUUUUAAAACUGCCUGGUCUUCUUCUUUAGAACUGUCAACAUUUCAGAGUAAGAGAGAAAUAUCCGUUACAUUGAAUGAUGGGGGUUGUGAUGGAUCUGGUUCCCAGCAGCGAAGAGGGAAUUAACACAUGAUCAUUUGUGUUCUUGGCUGGCAGUCAGCCCAGUACUGUAACCCAACCUGCCUGAGCUCAAUCAAACACUGAUCGUCACUAAAAAAAGGCACACUAGCUCAUCAGAUCUCCCCCGCCUCCAUCCACACAUGCAGAACGAUCUACUUCCCCUUCCCGUUGUCAUGGUGACAGUUGUGCUGGAAAUCCUCUUCAAUGAUAUGACUGACUGAUCAUGAGAUAAACCAUUAAUAGCUUCCUUUUACAAAAACCACAACACAUGAAGUAAUAGUGUAAAAUAGGACUGUGCAUCAACAGACAUAAAUUCCCCAAAGAAUUACUCAUUUCAUAAGAACUUGUAAUUUAAAUCAAAUCCACAGUAGUAAAAGAAAAGAAACCGGUUUAUUUUAAAUGAUUUAUUUAAUUGAUUCUGUAUUCUACCACGUCACAUUGGUCCAAAUGGCACAGUUGUGACAGUUCCAGUGCAACAUAAUCACGGACCUCACAGGUAUUAGUUAUCAGCGUCACUCUUUACCCAGUGGCUUCUUUGCGUAUUAUACAGGUUUGAGUCAUUGCAUUAAGACGGCUUAAAGUGCAGGGUCAGUACCACGGAGAUGAGCUUGUCUGGUCACCUGAGUCGGCUAGAAUGAAGCAGGGACAUUACAACUUACUCCGGCUGGAAUGAAUCCUGAGCUAGAGCUACAAUUAUGACAUCAGCGACCACACCAACAAUCCAUUCUUCUCCUGGGAUUGUAACGGAAAAGACGCUAAUGCUAUUCCUGCUGUGUCAGGACAGAGUUCGGGAGGAGGGUGGGUGAGGAGUGAAGCAAAGGAUGGACGAAGAGAGCGAUGGUUUCUUCUGCCUCGUCAAACAGCAGCAACCUCAUUUACUCCUCCUUUUCAAAAACUCAUCCACUUAUCUCCAUAUUUCCUCUAAGUCGGUUUUGACGGCCCCGAGCGUGUCUUUGCUCUAAAAAAAGACCAAAGUGCUAGUUAAAAAUAGAACUGAGAGAAAGGAGAAACGAGUAAGAAAAAAGGUAUAAUUAAAGCCACAAAAAAGAAUAUUAAAUAAAAAAGUAAAGCAAUAUUAUACAAA